rnacentral:rRNA from 1 species
GACGAACGCUGGCGGCGUGCCUAAUACAUGCAAGUCGAGCGCAGGAAACUGACGGAACUCUUCGGAGGGAAGGCAGUGGAAUGAGCGGCGGACGGGUGAGUAACACGUAAGGAACCUGCCUCAAGGAUUGGGAUAACUCCGAGAAAUCGGAGCUAAUACCGGAUAGUUCAACGGACCGCAUGGUCCGCUGAUGAAAGGCGCUCCUGCGUCCCCUUGAGAUGGCCUUGCGGUGCAUUAGCUAGUUGGUGGGGUAACGGCCCACCAAGGCGACGAUGCAUAGCCGACCUGAGAGGGUGAUCGGCCACACUGGGACUGAGACACGGCCCAGACUCCUACGGGAGGCAGCAGUAGGGAAUCUUCCACGAUGGACGAAAGUCUGAUGGAGCAACGCCGCGUGAGUGAUGAAGGUUUUCGGAUCGUAAAACUCUGUUGUAAGGGAAGAACACGUACGAGAGGGAAUGCUCGUACCUUGACGGUACCUUACGAGAAAGCCACGGCUAACUACGUGCCAGCAGCCGCAGUAACAC